GGGGAAUAUUGGACAUUGGACGAAAGUCUGAUCCAGCGACGCCGCGUGGAGGAAGAAGUCCUUCGGGAUGUAAACUCAUGAAGCUAACGAAUAAGACGGAAGGGGAACCUUCCGGGAGAAGGUAAUUAGUGAAAAGCCCCGGCUAACGACGUGCCAGCAGCCGCGGUAAUACGUAGGGGGCAAGCGUUAUCCGGAUUUACUGGGUGUAAAGGGAGCGUAGGUGGUUCGGCAAGUCAGAUGUGAAAGCCCGGGGCUCAACCCCGGGACUGCAUUUGAAACUGUCGGGCUAGAGUGCAGGAGAGGUAAGUGGAAUUCCUAGUGUAGCGGUGAAAUGCGUAGAUAUUAGGAGGAACACCAGUGGCGAAGGCGGCUUACUGGACUGUAACUGACACUGAGGCUCGAAAGCGUGGGGAGCAAACA
rnacentral:rRNA from 2 species